rnacentral:rRNA from 1 species
GACGAACGCUGGCGGCGUGCUUAACACAUGCAAGUCGAGCGGUAAGGCCCUUUCGGGGGUACACGAGCGGCGAACGGGUGAGUAACACGUGGGUGACCUGCCCUCAGCUCUGGGAUAAGCCUGGGAAACCGGGUCUAAUACUGGAUAUGACUCCAUGACGCAUGUUGUGGGGUGGAAAGCCUUGUGCGGCUGAGGAUGGGCCCGCGGCCUAUCAGCUUGUUGGUGGGGUGAGGCCUACCAAGGCGACGACGGGUAGCCGGCCUGAGAGGCGACCGGCCACACUGGGACUGAGACACGGCCCAGACUCCUACGGGAGGCAGCAGUGGGGAAUCUUGCGCAAUGGGCGAAAGCCUGACGCAGCGACGCCGCGUGAGGGAUGACGGCCUGG